CAUAAGGAAGCGAAGUGUGUGUGUCAAUGAGAGGACAGAAGAGCUCACAUCAGUUCAGCUUCAACAUCAACCAUGUUCUCUGUAGCUCUGAUACUGCUGCUGGCAGCUGGAUCCUGUGUGUACAGUAUUGAUCUCAUCCAGCCAGAGUCAAAGGUUGUGCAGCCUGGACAGUCUUUGACCAUCACCUGUCAGGUCUCUGGUUAUUCUCUGACUGAUAACAGCUAUGCAACAGGUUGGGUCAGACAGCGUGAAGGAAAACUGAUGGACUGGAUUUCUCAUCAGUGGGGUGGAGGUACUCUUCGUCAAAAUGAUGCUCUGAAGAACAAGUUCAGCUACAACAGAGACACUUCUGCAAGAACAGUGACUAUAACAGGACAGAAUCUGCAGCCUGAGGACACAGCUGUUUAUUACUGUGUACGUUACCCCACAGUGAAACAAACCACCAACAGACCUGUACAAAAACUCAGCAACACAUGCUCUAAUGUGAACAUUAGUAAAGUCAGUACUCUCUUACAAUAAUGUAGUUGAAUGUUCCUGCAUUUCACUUUAGUAUUUUAACAUAUCUGUGUAGAUUUCUUUUGACUUCAACUGCAAGACAAGGAUAUAAAGCACUUUUUUUUAUUCAUUUUUGAACUGGGAUGUCUAGAGAAGCAGGAUGAAGCAUUUUGUUUUGUUUCCAUACAAUGGAAUCUUAGAAAGCUAACUGUACAGCAGUAUAUCUUUCUUUUCAAGUAUUAAAAAAAAUCCACAGAUGAAAUUUAACAUUUUUAAUUUAGCCAUUUUUGUAAUUUUAGUUCUCCCUGUGCCAGCGUGGCCUCUCUGUGGGUACUCUGGCCUCCUUCCUUUGACUGAAGAUAUGUAAGUUAUGUUAACUGAUGACUCUGAAUUGCCCAUAGGUGGGAAUUUGAAUGUGAAUGUGUUGGCCCUGAGAUGGACUGCUGAUCUGUCCAGGGUGUACCCGUUCAGUUCACUAUUGUUUUCGGUAAUAAAUAUAUAUAUUUUUA